GUUGACACUAACCUAACACAGGCUAUAAAUACAACCGACAUUUUAAUAUCCAUCGGCAUUGCACAAGAUAUAAAAUGUAGAUCGAACAAUAUGCAUAUAUUACAUACCAUAGCAGGUCCUGCAGCCUUCAGAAACUCCUCACACUUCACAAUUCGGCCAACAGGUGAUCUAGCCACCUAAAAUGUAUAGGAAAAUUGAAAUUAUUUUUCUGAAAAACUUG
rnacentral:lncRNA from 7 species